UCCUGGUGAAUCUUCUGAGUAACAUCAUGGUCACAUCUGUGGUUUCUUCAGACUUUAUUAACUAACGUCAUAAAGUCUGAGAGUCAUAACCACACAGCUCAGCGUUGUUCUGGAAAUAUCCGUCAUGAUAUCAGUGUGGAAUCUCCUUCUGCUGUUGACGUCAGAAUCUAAUGAAUCCAACCGGAUCUACAGAAUGAAACAACAUAUACUCAUCUGAUACUGCUUUAAACACACAUAUACGAACAUCCAGUGUGACGACAGCAGAAGCUGUGGGUUUAGUUCUGGAGAGGAAAGGGAAGAAAAAGGGAAGAAAAAGAGAAGAAAAGGAGAAGACAAAGAGAAGAAAAGCAAACAGGAGAUUCAUUCUGCUGUAAACACCCUGAAGAAACAUCUUCAGCAGGACCUCCUCUCCUGACCUCCAUGUGAAACUUGUCAGACUUGAUAAAAGUGAAGCUCUGUGACUAAACCUGAUUCCAAACAUGUGGAGCUUUCAGGUCUAAUUUCACAUUUUAGGGCAUGUUGAACAAUAAGAGGUCCUGCCAAUGGAAAUAACCAGAGGAACAGCUCAACAACACACAACCUGCAGUUAAAAUACCAAAACCUUCACUGACCUACAGUUCUGCAACAAGCAGAGAACAGUUUAAACUUUCUGCUGUCAGUAGCUUUCACAUUGUAAAGACUUCUAUUAAAGCAGCCUGUAAAAUAACAGCAGCUCACGGUUUAUAGCUGGACUCAUGAAUGUGCUGCAGGAGAACAGACAGCUUAGUACCAGCUUUAGGGUCUAAAAGCGGCAGGUUUCUGAUUAUUUUUCAUGUUUAAGUGUUUUAAACAACCUGAUAGAUUCAGACCGUCUGUACACUGACCAGGACAGCUGCUAGAACAGAAACUAAUCCCCUUAGUCAUGAAGAAAUGGAGCAGAAUUCACCAGAAUUAUUCAUGGAGUGAUAAUUAAUCUCAACAGAAGCCUGGAAUCAGCAUUCCUCCCCUCUGGAGGUCAUUCAGCCCUCAGAGAGUUCAGAUCCAGCUGGGAUGAACUUAUAUGGAAUCAGAACUCUGCUGCUCUGCCUGGCAGUCAUCCUCCAGGCGUCUUUGGGGUUUUACCGUAAAAUGUGUUUUUGGCUGUUAAAUGUUAUCUGGAGUAAACGGA